UACGUAGGGGGCAAGCGUUGUCCGGAAUCAUUGGGCGUAAAGAGCGUGUAGGCGGCUCGGUAAGUCCGCUCUGAAAGCCCGGGGCUCAACCCCGGGAGGCGGGCGGAUACUGUCGGGCUAGAGUCCGGAAGAGGCGAGUGGAAUUCCUGGUGUAGCGGUGAAAUGCGUAGAUAUCAGGAGGAACACCGAUGGCGAAGGCAGGUCUCUGGGCCGAUACUGACGCUGAGGAGCGAAAGCGUGGGGAGCGAACAGG
rnacentral:rRNA from 1 species